AGGAGGGAGCCUGGACUUUGGAGGAUGGGGAAGGCAGGCCAGGGCCCGGAGUGGGUGAAGACUUCUCAGGACUAGGCCAGGACAGUGCCCAUCCCUGCAGAAGCCCAGUGGCCAAUUGAGGCAGGAGGAGCUCCAGACAACAGCAUGUGAGGCAGGCGUGGAUUUUGUGUACAAGACAAAGCUGGAAUCUGUGGAGGUCUCUGCCUCCAACCCUUACGUCUAUUACAACACGCAGCUCGAAGACAUCAUUAAGAGUGGUAUGUCCCAGGUACGGACCCUGCCACACCCCUGGCCAUGAAGAAAUUCGUCUCCCAUGCCACUUGCCAUGACUCCCUGGGGUUGCAAGAACAGGAAUCGUACCUCAUCAUGGGCCAGACGUCAGACCUGUGGAGAAUCAAAUCUGAUUACAGCUAUGUUCUGGGCAAGGAGACGUUCCUCAUCCUUUGGCCAGCAGAUGGAGAUGCCAGCAAGAAAGAAUUGCGGGACCAACUGGAGGAAUUUUUGGAAUAUAUGCGCACCCACGGCUGCCAGUCCUGAGCCUCUUCUGCUUUCAGGGAGGUGUCAUCAGGCAGCUCUGGGCCACUGGGUUUAACCCCAAAUAAAGAGCACAGGAUAUGACACCCAAA
ensembl:lncRNA C3P1 complement component 3 precursor pseudogene